AGAGUUUGAUCCUGGCUCAGGAUGAACGCUGGCGGCGUGCCUAAUACAUGCAAGUCGAGCGAACGUCAUAGAAGCUUGCUUCUAUGACGUUAGCGGCGGACGGGUGAGUAACACCUGGGCAACCUGCCUGUAAGACUGGGAUAACUUCGGGAAACCGAAGCUAAUACCGGAUAGGAUCUUCUCCUUCAUGGGAGAUGAUUGAAAGAUGGUUUCGGCUAUCACUUACAGAUGGGCCCGCGGUGCAUUAGCUAGUUGGUGAGGUAACGGCUCACUAAGGCAACGAUGCAUAGCCGACCUGAGAGGGUGAUCGGCCACACUGGGACUGAGACACGGCCCAGACUCCUACGGGAGGCAGCAGUAGGGAAUCUUCCGCAAUGGACGAAAGUCUGACGGAGCAACGCCGCGUGAGUGAUGAAGGCUUUCGGGUCGUAAAACUCUGUUGUUAGGGAAGAACAAGUACGAGAGUAACUGCUCGUACCUUGACGGUACCUAACCAGAAAGCCACGGCUAACUACGUGCCAGCAGCCGCGGUAAUACGUAGGUGGCAAGCGUUAUCCGGAAUUAUUGGGCGUAAAGCGCGCGCAGGCGGUUUCUUAAGUCUGAUGUGAAAGCCCACGGGCUCAACCGUGGAGGGUCAUUGGAAACUGAGGAACUU
rnacentral:rRNA from 1 species